rnacentral:lncRNA from 1 species
GGUAAUGGUGUGACCUAGCGCAGCAAGGGAGGAAGCCAUAUUGGAGCUUGAGGAGGAAGAUGACAUAACGAUGUGGAAGAGGUAGGCGCUUAUACCAUGUGGAAAGGCUGGAAGCGUACGCAUCUAGCAGGGACGCGUUGUAUGUUUAUAUAGGCACAAGUGCCGAACAGAUAUACAUCAGACAAGUUAGGAUCAAUCUCCUUUUAUCUACAGUUUAAACACAAUGAGAUAGAUAGAUAUCCUAAUAAUCUAACUAUGCAGAUCACGCACGCACGCCCUACUAACUUGUUGUACAAGUAUCAUGUAUUGUACAGAUAAUAUAUUGUCUAACACUCACAGUCAUGACACCCGCAUCAUCGAUGCCAUAGCAGACCUCCCGCUAGCCUCAGCACUAGGCAUGCACUCUAACCUGCAGGUUGUACGAACAACAUUAUGUGCCUUAAGAAAUUGUAACAAACAGGCCCAAAAAAUACAAUGGGCAAUUGACCUAGUGAAUGUAAUUUGUUUCAUAUUCCAUACUUUUUACCUUGGAGAACAAACCAUGAAGACCUAUCAGGCAAUUUUUUCUUGUAACUAUGGCAUUCUCACAAGGAAAACCUUGGUCUGCAACAGCUCCUAUAAUAACAGCAGCAUCAGGCUACAGGUUUAGCAAUGUUAUGUGCAUUAAAGACAUCUUCAAUUGUUCAACAACAAUAAUGGCACUAAACAGAGGUAAACCUGUUCUGAAGCAAGGCAUACAGGAAAAAAAUCUCACCAUAGAAGUUCAUCCCCUCGAGCAAGAAUCCAAAAAAACAAUAAUUCAUAGUUUCCAAAGGCACGAACAGGAUGCAAAAAAAAGGACAUGCUAAAACACUGCCACUAAGCUAUGAACAAUGUCAUCCAAAAGUACAGCUAUGCCAGUUAGUAAAAAUAAUCAUGUCACAACAAUUAGUUGUGUGCAUAUGAAAUAAGGAUCAUCUUGGAGCGGCCUCAAGGAAUAGCAUCACGUAACAAAACAGUAGCUUUUAAGGCAUACAUCUCAACUGCUUUCAACUUAGUAAAUGAUGUAAAACUAACCAUGCCAAUGAAGCAACAAAAAGGUAUUAGCUUUGUUACGUGACAUGCAACCAACAAAAGUUAUUUUUUCAGAGUGAAAAUAAUACUAACCGUAAAGCAUGAAUAAGAAAGUUGUAUUGUUGUGGUAAUCAACAGACACCUGAAAAAAGUAGCUAUCCAACCAAUUAGAUAAAAUACCUUGAUUUGGAUAUAUCUACAAUCAAACUUUUCAUAAAUAAUCUUUUGUUCUUUCGUCUGCAACAUAAGCUAUAACCAGAUUGAUCAACAAAUCUCUAUAGCUAACUAUUUCUAUGAAAUAAUAUUAGGAAACUUUAACCAUGGCAUAAAUAUAUAAAAAUGUGAUGAGCAAUAAAAAGGAAAGACCAAAAAUGUAAAUUUCGUUGAUUGUAACCUUAAGGCAGUGAACUAAUCUCCAACAGUGCUAACUGAUGCCAAUAAAUUAACUACCACUAUUUUCUCCCUCCAGGAAAUCCCCAAACAUUUAACACAAGCAUCAAAGUGGUCAUCCAGAUUCCCCCAAAAGAAACACUCACCCUAAUUAACAAGGAGAUGCAUGGCAGCACAUGGCAGAUUACACGGGAGAGAGAGAGUGGAUGAAGACGCGGACUACAUGGCGUCCUUGUCCACCACACCUCAGUCCUCCUCCUUCGCCUGCACCUCGGCCUCCGUGAUCGUCAUCGCCACCACAAGUGUUGGCCUGGUCUUGGUCCCCUCCCUCUUAGCGGUCGGAUGCAGCUCUUUGGUCUUCCCCGCCAUAGAUUCCUAGGAUGAUGUUGAUGGUGACUGGUGAGGCGAUGCGGGAAAGAACGGAGGCGUCAUCGACAAAUAAGAGAAAAAGAAGAGGCCACACCGUACAACUGCCCACCGCUGCUCACCUUGACGGCUCGACCGCCUCUGUUAUGUCGCCGACGACACAGGAGGAGGCCGAGGUGAAUGGGCUUGAGGACCAACGAUGGGGUCGACGGUGCUCAUCCCGACCCCCUUGGAAUCUAGGGGAAGGGGGCCAUGGCGGCGGCUGCACUGGGAGAGGAGGCGGCGGCGCUCAGAGAGGAGGCGGCGAUGGCAUCGACACUGAGCUGGGUGAUGGCGGCGGCAGCGCAAGCACGAAAGGGAGAAAUAAACGAGAGAGAAAGGAGGGAGUCGCUCGAGUCGCUCGCUCCUUUUAGGUUUUCACCGUUCGGUGAAUACUUUGGCUACGAACGACCAGAGAAAACCCGAACGAUUCACUUAAGCCCCACCAAACAAGGCC